rnacentral:rRNA from 1 species
CCUACGGGGUGCAGCAGUGGGGGAUAUUGGACAAUGUGGGAAACCCUGAUCCAGCGACGCCGCGUGAGUGAAGAAGUAUUUCGGUAUGUAAAGCGCUGUCAGCAGGGAAGAAAGAAAUGACGGUGCCUGACCAACAAACCCCGGCUAACUACGUUCCAGCAGCCGCGGUAAUACGUAGGGGGCAAGCGUUAUCCCGAAUUACUGGGUGUAAAGGGAGCGUAGACGGUGAUGCAAGUCUGGAGGGAAAGGCUGGGGACCAAACCCCGGACUGCUCUGGAAACUGUGUAACUUGAGUGCAGGAGAGGUAAGCGGAAUUCCUAGUGUAGCGGUGAAAUGCGUAGAUAUUAGGAGGAACACCAGAGGCGAAGGCGGCUUACUGGACUGUAACUGACGUUGAGGCUCGAAAGCGUGGGGAGCAAACAGGAUUAGAUACCCGAGUAGUC